rnacentral:lncRNA from 1 species
AGAGCCAGAGAGUGGAGGAGUUCAGUCUGUGGUGGUCUCAGCCGACCCCCCUCUAGCCAAGGGAUAUCGUGUUCCAGUGAUGGGUCAACCCCAGUCUGACGGUCACUCCUCCCUGCAGAGGACAGGUCCUCCACCCAGGUCCAAUCCUCCCAGACUUCCUGAAGGACCAGUCCAUUGGGACAGAUACAGCCCCUCAGGUCGUGGCAGGAACCAUAGCGACCGCGCCCCUCCCUCCCAGCCUCUGCCGCCCUCCAACGUGCCACCCCCUCUCUACAACCCUCCCUCCAUUUUCUCCUCCCCUCUCCCCCAUCCGCCAGGUGUCAUACCCCCCACUACCCGCCUCCCCACUUCCCCCCCCGGGCAACAGCCCCCCUCCAGCUUCUCCCUGCCCCCUCCUGGCUACACCCCCACCCCAGGAGUCAC